AAGGCGGCUGGGACCCUGGACAGCUGGCCUCCUCCGCCCCCAGCCCUCCUCUGCAGCUGAGGGCUGCAGCCCAGCAGGCGUGCGCUGGCAUGCAUCCUCCCGGCUCUAUCUAGUCUGCCCUAGCCUGGAAGCUGAAUCCCGGGAGACAGCAAAAGGCACCGGGAGAGAGACUGGAGAAGGCCAAAAUAAGAGUGCAGGAUCACAGUCAAGGCUGCUGCGGAGCCAGGAAAGACAGCGUUGCCGACUCCGGACUAGUACCUGCUGCACUGAGAAGCCUGUGAAUGGCAGGAGGCCAGGAAAGUAUACAAGCAGGUCCGGGAGGGAGGGCGGCUGAGCUCCAGAAAUGAGGAGAGGGAACUUGGGACAGCAACUGGUCCCCACACGGUGAACUUGACCAUUCCAAGGGGCUCCCAAGGACGGUGAAGGUAGGGGGUGUGGCCGAAAGGACACAAAGGCUAAACACAGCUACAGGGGUGGGGGGUAAGGGUGGUGGUGACGAGGACCGAAGGACACCUUUCUGAGAACCAAUUAGGGACUGUAAAGACAAUUGAACUGGGGGCGAUUUUGUAUGAGAAAGCUGGAGCAGCAAAGAAAGGAAAAUCAGGAUUGAAGAGCUAAGAGAGAGAAGAGUUAGAAGCCAAAGAAAGCAAACUGCACCCGGAACUAAAAGAAAAGAGAAAUCAAUAAAGGAAAUUUUCAAAACACAUGGCAGAGCGAACUUGUUCCUGAAACUACCAACAGAGGGAGGAAAAAAGGGGUGGGGGCGCCGAGCAUACUGGAGGAACCAAAAGAGAAGGAAUGAAAGGAGAGAAGACUGGAUACAAAUUAAACCAGACACGGCAUAGACACAGAUAAAUCUGGCAUCACAACAGCUGCCCAUUCUUCUCGUUAUGCAAAGUACUGGAUAUCUGUUCCAAAGCAAUCUCUUUAUCAUGGAUGCAUCAGAAUUGCUAACAGGUGUCUGAGCUCUGUGCUUCCUCAUCCAUGACAUGAGCUUUGAGCAAGACGAACCACAGCAGCUACUCUCAGCACUCAGGAGAUGAAGGUAGGAAGAUACCAAGUUGGAAACCAACCCAGACUCUAAAGCAAGAGUCUCAGGCCACCUGGAGCUAUAUAGCAAGACCUUUCCGGAAGACCAUAUCAGUUUGAAUCAUUUCUGGAAGUCAGCAGGGGUCUCCAAUGUGAAGAGCACUCUCUUUUUGUUAUUGGCCUCCUCUAUCUCAAAGGGCAAUCAGAACCUUCCUCUCGGGCAAGGAAUGCAUCUAUGUGUCUGUGACGUAUUGGAUGCUAAGACUCAGAGAUCAAUAAUAUCUCAAUUUGGCAUGUAUUUUAGUGAUGCGAAUGUCAUCCAUUUCCAGCUAAACUCACAGAUUCAUCUUCAUCUCACUAGAAGAGAGACAUCCAGCGCUUGGUUUGUGACAGUGAAAGACCUUGACCUCCAGGAACUUACAG